AAAGCCAGCUGCGUUGUAUCGGCGUACCGUGGACUGUGCAGAUGAUCGUGUGAUACUAUUCUUACCAAAAAUGAGGGAGUUAAUGAAACGUUACCAAUCUUUAUCAAAAUUCUACGCUACACUUGGAAAAAAGUGGGUACUUACGGCUGGUGCAUGGGGAACAGGACUGGGAGUUGUUUUCUUGUAUGUGACUGACUGGAAAGUUGUCACCCAAAAGAUUCCAUUUAUUAAGGAUAAAUAUGAUCAUGAAAUUCCCAAAUGAAAGGAGAGGAAAUAUUUGCACAGAUGCUUUGUUGCUUCAAGAUGUCAGAGGGCUGAAUAAUUCUGUUAUUCUUUCAAGUAUUUGGACUACUGAAGCCAGUGGCUUUCUUGCCUUGUAAAGACUGUUUUAUGAUUAAAUGAUACAUUUGUUUAUGAAACUGCUGUUACUGUAGUAUGGCUAAUUGCUGAUGAUGUAGAAUCAAAGCCCAUAAAUAAUGAAAAGAUAGUUAAACUUUACAAAUCAUGGUCAAAACCCUUAAUUUUCUUGUUCCUGUUCUCUUAAAUAAAGGGUGUGCACUGUGUGAA